rnacentral:rRNA from 1 species
UGGCGGCGUGCCUAACACAUGCAAGUCGAACGAAGCAUUUCUCCGGAGAUCGUGAAGGAGGACUUGACUUAGUGGCGGACGGGUGAGUAAUGCGUGAGCAACCUGCCCUGAGGUGGGGGACAACAGUUGGAAACGACUGCUAAUACCGCAUGAUGUAUCGGGAGGGCAUCCUCCUGACACCAAAGAUUUAUUGCCUUGGGAUGGGCUCACGUCUGAUUAGCUGGUUGGUGGGGUAACGGCCCACCAAGGCUGCGAUCAGUAGCCGGACUGAGAGGUUGAACGGCCACAUUGGGACUGAGAUACGGCCCAGACUCCUACGGGAGGCAGCAGUGGGGAAUAUUGGGCAAUGGGCGAAAGCCCUGACCCAGCAACGCCGCGUGAAGGAAGAAGGCCUUCGGGUUGUAAACUUCUUUUAUGAGGGACGAAGGACGUGACGGUACCUCAUGAAUAAGCCACGGCUAACUACGUGCCAGCAGCCGC